UACGGGGGGGGCAAGCGUUGUUCGGAAUUACUGGGCGUAAAGGGCUUGUAGGCGGCCAACUAAGUCAGACGUGAAAUCCCUCGGCUUAACCGGGGAACUGCAUCUGAUACUGGAUGGCUUGAGUUCGGGAGAGGGAUGCGGAAUUCCAGGUGUAGCGGUGAAAUGCGUAGAUAUCUGGAGGAACACCGGUGGCGAAGGCGGCAUCCUGGACCGACACUGACGCUGAGGAGCGAAAGCCAGGGGAGCAAACGGG
rnacentral:rRNA from 1 species